AAACAAAUACACAAUCGUAUAUUUCACCAUAUUUUUUAUUUGACACAAACGUGAUUAAGGUAUGACGAAUAACACUGAUUAUCUUCAGAUUCUUUGGGAACUGAAAUACUCUGACGUCGCUGUAAGCAGUACCAUUCUGACAAUUAUCGGAGGUAUUGUUGGAAUUCUAGGGAAUUGUUCAGUUAUAAUAUGUUACUUCUUUCGGAUUCAGGAACGAGGACAGCGUUAUUUUAUUCCAGUGUUGGCAGUCGUAGAUUUAGUUGCGUGUAUAACAAGUUCUGUGUUCUACAUUAUGGAUAAUAAGUUUUUAUUGAAUUAUCCCUAUGAUCUGAUGUGUCGUGUUCUGAUUUUUUUGCAGCUGCUUGUGCCAGGAAUAUCGGCUAGUCUACUAGUCAUUAUUGGUGUUCAAAGAUAUCUGUUAGUUUGCAAACCUCACGGACCAAGGAUGACAUCACGCUGGAAAAGGAUUGCCAUUGUUGUCGUAUGCUUGUUUUCUUUGGCAUUAUCUGCACCGUUUCUUGCAAUAUCUGGAAUUAAAACAUCAUCCAAAACGUUUCAAAAUCAUACACUACAGAUGACAGUCUGUAAAUUUUUCACAGCAGAAAUUACAGCAAAUAUAAGAGCGUACAUCAGCUGUCUUCUACUGCUAAUUAUUAUCAGUAUUUUGAUAACCAUAACUUUGUUCAUAUUAGUGUUGAAAAGGAUAAAACUCUCUUUUCUUGGGAAAUUCAGAAGUUGGCGUCAGACAUUCAAACAUCGAAAUACACCUAGUAAUACUGAUUCAACAAAAGAUAUAGAACUCUACAAUUGUAAAGGAAAACUUCACGGAAUUCAGAUCCAGAAAAUAUCUAGCUCAAAUCCAAGCAUUGACGUUUCCUCUUCUUUGAGUGUUGAUCUUGAUAUUAAUAAAUCAGUAAAUACUUUAAAGAAAGAGGACGGCGAAAGAACAAGGAAGGAAAAAGCAACAAGAAGAAUAACGAUUAUGUUUUUUGUCAUUAUUGUUGCUUAUGUUUUAUCUUAUAUUCCUACUUGUAUCAUUUUUAUUGUAGUAUAUACUCUCCCUGAUUUCAAUUACAUUUCUUUGUCAAGAGAGGCAGCAUUUCUAAUUAUCUAUCUUUCUCGUUUUGUGUUUCUAAACCAUAUUGUUAAUCCCUUUAUAUACAGUUACUUCGAUCAGAAUUUUAGAACUGAAUUGAGAAAGUUAUUUGCAUGUGUAAAUAAAUAAGAGGGAUAUAAAAUAAUAGUCUGUGUGAAGAUACAGUUGGCUUAGGCAAAUAAUCAGUUUCUGCAUAUCAUUUGUCAUGUAGGAAGAUAUAGAUUGAUAUUUGGUAUACAGUGUUGCCAUUACAAGUUCAAGAUUAAAUCUAAAUUUUGUUUAGUUUGUAGGGUUAUUUCGAAAGUUUAUUGGACUUAGACAAUUCAGGCAAAUAAUCAGUUUUCCACACUUAUUUUGAUAUUAAUUGUAUAGUUUGACACCGUGACAAGUUAUAGAUCAAAGUUAAUUGCUCCAUUACAAUGAAUUACAAUGAAUUUUUAGUUGGUAGGGUAAUUGACUUGCAAAACUCUCAGAAUGCUACUUUUAGUUGUUUUGUCGCUGCAAAAUACUCUUUUAUUGCGAGUUAUAGGGUAAUAUAUUGUGUAUAUUAGAUGCUUUCAAAGUGUACAUAUCCGUCAGACAUGGUUCACUUGACCUCAAUCUUAUUUCAUGGAUCAGUUAUCAAUGUUCAGUUUUCGUGACCAAACCCGAACAUCAGAUACUAUUAGCAACAUAUUCACUAUAUUUGUUGUGCGGAAUGACUCAAAUAGUAAUUGUUCAUACUCACCUGUCAGUUUCACCCGAACUUGACCUCAUUUUCAUGUUUUAUAUGUCAGUGUAAAUGAUUUUGGUCUUGUCAGUUUCUCAUAUACUGCAUAUAAGCAAAUACAAUGCUGUAUUUGGUGUAUGGAAUGAAUCAUCAUAUUUAAGGAGGUUCGAGGGUAUAAAAAUUUCAGAAAAAAAUCAAACAUUUGUUUUCCAUUACAAAUUCUAUUUAUUUCCUUUUGUAGUUGUUACUUUAUCAUAUGGUACAUAAAUCAUUCAAAACAAUCAAUUCGUGUUGGCCCCAG
rnacentral:lncRNA from 1 species